CAAGGAAAUAGUUACAAAAAUCAAACUACAAAUUCGUCAGGACCAAAAACACCAUCUCCAGGUUCUAAAAAUUCUGAUUCUGACGUCAUCGAAACUGGACCCUCGGCGAGAGCAAGAGAGAGGGCCAUACAAAAUACGGCAAUUUACUGCGUCAUAGGGGUGGCCGCUAUAGCGGCCAUAUUGAUAAUCACGGCCGGGUUUCUCAUCCGUAGAGGUAGAAGAUCAGCAGAGCAACAAAGAAAAUAUAAAAAGGUACAGGAAUCAAGACUCAGUCAGUCUGAUUCCUCCAUUUUCAAACUGGAAAAAUUACCCAGGGAAACACCAACACAAUUUUCUGCAGGUUCAGAGGACCAGCUGUAUUGACGAACUCCUUAAUAUUAGAAGGAAAAUAUAUGACAUUGUACAGAUUCCUUAAUGCUAGAAGAGAAGGCUUUUUGUAACAUUUUAUGACAUUGUACAUUGAAUCCCUUUAUAUUAGAAGAGGGAAGGCUUUCUGUACUAUAUGUCAUUACACAAUUUUAUCAUAAUAAGAGUAGAUAUGAAUUUGUAUUGAUAAAAUUGAUGUAAUGGAUAAGUUUGCAGAUAUUUUUUUUUACAUGCAUUUAAAAUUGAA